rnacentral:rRNA from 1 species
AUUGAACGCUGGCGGCAGGCCUAACACAUGCAAGUCGAGCGAGCGGCGGACGGGUGAGUAAUGUCUGGGAAACUGCCUGAUGGAGGGGGAUAACUACUGGAAACGGUAGCGAAUACCGCAUAACAUCAGAUGUGCCCAGAUGGGAUUAGCUAGUAGGUGGGGGAAUGGCUCACCACGGCGACGAUCCCUAGCUGGUCUGAGAGGAUGCCCAGCCACACGGGAACUGAGACACUGUCCAGACUCCUACGGGAGGAAGCAGUGGGGAAUAUUGCACAAUGGGCGCAAGCCUGAUGCAGCCAUGCCGCGUGUAUGAAGAAGGCCUUCGGGUUGUAAAGUACUUUCAGCGAGGAGGCGUUACUCGCAGAAGAAGAACCGGCUAACGCCGUGCCAGCAGCCGCGGUAAUAC